rnacentral:rRNA from 10 species
GUUCGCCGCCCCGACGUCGCGAGAAGUCCAUUGAACCUUAUCAUUUAGAGGAAGGAGAAGUCGUAACAAGGUUUCCGUAGGUGAACCUGCGGAAGGAUCAUU